rnacentral:sRNA from 1 species
AUCCUCUGUGCUGGGUAAUCUGCGCCCUCCUCCAUGGCGCAGGAGGCCAUCUACCUCUCCCAGGCUGUGAUGGUUGCUGCCCCUUUUCCCCACCCUGUGAGUAAAAUUGCCCCCACCUUGACUUGCCAGGCCUCAGUGACAACCGAAAGACCCAAGAAGGGGAAACGGACCAGCCGCAUGUGGUGCACCCAGAGCUUUGCCAAGGAUGACACCAUUGGACGGGUAAGGUGGGGCGUGCACCUCACGUAGCUGGGGCAGGAUGCUCUAAGGCGGCCGGCCCCUUCAGCCCUUCCCCUUCACCUACAGGUUGGUCGUCUCCACGGCUCUGUUCCCAACCUGUCUCGCUACCUGGAGUCUCGGGACUCCUCAGGCACCCGUGGGCUGCCACCCACAGACUAUGCCCACCUGCAGCGCAGCUUCUGGGCCCUGGCCCAGAAGGGUAAGUGCAUGCUGGGGGAGCUGAUGGGGAGCGGACAGGAGCGAGCGAGGACUCUGAUGGUCUGCCCCACCUCCUGUAGUGCACAGCUCCCUCAGCAGCGUCCUGGCCGCCCUCACCACGGAACGGGACCGACUGAGGGACAUGCACCAGGGCUCAGAGUUGUCAAGGAUGGCGGUGAGGCCUGGGGGACAGGGUGGCUGGUGGGGGGAGAGGGCUUGAAGCUGAGGACUGCCAGCCUGGGGUCCGAUAGCAGAUCUGGGUCAGGGUUGGGAGGGGGUUGGCAGAGGAAGUCUCUGCAGAGAUGCGGCAAGGUGGGGAGGACCUCAUCCUCCUGGCACUGUGUCCCUCACCCUCUCCCUGCAGGUCUCUGAGGCCUCCACUGGCCAGAGGCGCCUCCACUCACUGUCCACCUCCUCCGACACCACAGCAGACUCUUUCAGCUCCCUCAACCCUGAGGAGGUACGGAGCCAGGGUGGGUUGUGGGGGCCGAUUCUCCUGUGCCUUGUCUCCCAGCGAAAGCCAAGGCCCAGGGCAGUGGGCAAAGUUGGUUUUUAGUCCCAAAGACAGCCCAAAAAUCCUGGCUCCACUGUCUUUCCCAUAAGGUAGGCGGCAGCCCCAUCUCGAUCAUUGUGUAACAACGUGCAGGGUACUUUUACCUUUAAUUCAGAGUCCUCUGAUGCAGUGAUUCUCACCCUCAACAUAACAAAACUGAGGCUCAAAGGAUCUAAUGGGUGGGCUCAGGCUCCUGCAAUUAUAGACGGGCUGAACUGAGACUCAGGCUCUGAGCACAGACGCUGGGGCUGCGUUCCACAGAUUCAAAUCUGGCUCUCCUGCCUGCCAGCUUUGUGAUCCUGAGCCUCAGCAUCCCAGUCUGCAAAGUGGGGGUGAUAAUUGCACCUACCUCACAGGGUAGGUGUCAGGAUUGAAUGAGUUAGUGCACACAGAGGGCUUGGAGUGGGGCUCAGGGUCAGUGCCAGGAAGUGUAAACAGUUAUAAUGGAGCCUGCGUCCCCUCACUCCCAGGCCAGGGCUCGUUUUACUAUGCCUUUGUCCCCCUCUCACUCCCCUCUGCCUCUUCUGCUCAGAAGGUGUCUGACUUAGCAAAAGUGCCCGGUUAUGCCUCCCUCUCAAGGGAACUGUCAGGCAAGUGGGUGCCCUGCUUGAUCCCCCCGGCUUGGCCCUGGAGCCUGACAUCCAUCUGGCUGCUCCCACAGCAAGAAGCUCUGUACAUGAAGGGGCGCGAGCUUACCCCCCAGCUGUCGCAGACCAGCAUCCUGUCCCUUGCUGAUUCCCACACGGAGUUCUUCGAUGCUUGUGAGGUUCUCCUCUCCGCCAGCUCUUCUGAGAAUGAGGUGAGGGAGGAGAGAAGCUGGCAGUGAGGCGGUGGGGGGACCUUGGGAACAGAAGGGUGGGGUCCACAGAGACCAUAGAUUCCUCAGCCCCUUCUCACCACCUCAGCUGCUACCUCUGGGACUAUGUCCAGAUCAGCUGGGUUUGUGUGGCCCUGCUCAGAAAUCUCUGCUAGGGACUCUUCUCCUAGAGGAGUGUAACAUUUUUAUCCCCAUUGGGUUCUCCUGAAACUACUGCCACAGUUGCAACCCCAGUCAUCUUCCUAUGACCCUGUCUCAGCUUCAGCACUCCCUUGAUCCCCUCUUCUCAGACCCUGACCCUCAGUAAUCCCCAACUUCCCUUCCCUCUGUGUGCCACCAAGUCCCUGAGCUUUCUCCCACCAGCCACAGGGCCCAGCCCUCCCCUUCCCAAGGUGGCUGGGCACACUCUGUGAUGCCAGGCAUCCCGGGGCAAUGUCUUAGGGCUCAGAGCCCCCCCAAUACAUUCUCUUCCCCUUCCCACCAAAGGGCUAGCUGGGCAGAUUCUUGCCAGGCCCUGGGCACUGCCCAGCUGCCCAGGGGAGGCCUAGUCUGCCCGGCCUGUCAUCUGUCCUGGCCCAGGGCUCAGAGGAGGAGGAGUCAUGUACCAGUGAAAUCACCACCAGCCUGUCUGAGGAGAUGCUGGACCUCAGGGGAGCUGAGCGCUGUCAGAAAGGAGGGUGUAUUCCAGGGAGACCCAUGGGGCCACCCCGCCGUCGCUGCCUGCCGGCGGCCAGCGGGCCCGGGGCUGACGUGAGCCUGUGGAACAUUCUGCGCAAUAACAUCGGCAAAGACCUGUCCAAGGUGUCAAUGCCUGUGCAGCUCAACGAGCCGCUCAACACUCUGCAGCGGCUCUGCGAGGAGCUGGAGUACAGCAGCCUCCUGGACCAGGCCAGCCGCAUCGCCGACCCCUGCGAGCGCAUGGUGUACAUCGCAGCCUUUGCUGUCUCGGCCUACUCCUCCACAUAUCACCGAGCCGGCUGCAAGCCCUUCAACCCCGUCCUGGGGGAGACCUAUGAGUGUGAGCGGCCUGACCGAGGCUUCCGCUUCAUCAGUGAGCAGGUCUCCCACCACCCCCCUAUCUCCGCCUGCCAUGCAGAGUCUGAGAACUUCGCCUUCUGGCAAGAUAUGAAGUGGAAGAACAAGUUCUGGGGCAAAUCCCUGGAGAUUGUGCCUGUGGGAACAGUCAACGUCAGCCUGCCCAGGUUUGGGGACCACUUUGAGUGGAACAAGGUGACGUCCUGCAUUCACAAUGUCCUGAGCGGUCAGCGCUGGAUUGAGCACUAUGGGGAGGUGCUCAUCCGAAACACACAGGACAGCUCCUGCCACUGCAAGAUCACCUUCUGCAAGGCCAAGUACUGGAGUUCCAAUGUCCACGAGGUGCAGGGCGCUGUGCUCAGUCGGAGUGGCCGUGUCCUCCACCGACUCUUUGGGAAGUGGCACGAGGGGCUGUACCGGGGACCCACGCCAGGUGGCCAGUGCAUCUGGAAACCCAACUCAAUGCCCCCCGACCAUGAGCGAAACUUCGGCUUCACCCAGUUUGCCUUGGAGCUGAAUGAGCUGACAGCAGAGCUGAAACGGUCACUGCCUUCCACCGACACGAGGCUCCGGCCAGACCAGAGGUACCUGGAGGAGGGGAACAUACAGGCCGCUGAGGCCCAGAAGAGAAGGAUCGAGCAGCUGCAGCGAGACAGGCGCAAAGUCAUGGAGGAAAACAACAUUGUACACCAGGCUCGCUUCUUCAGGCGGCAGAGAGAUAGCAGCGGGAAGGAGUGGUGGGUGACCAACAAUACCUACUGGAGGCUGCGGGCUGAGCCAGGCUACGGGAACAUGGAUGGGGCCGUGCUCUGGUAGCCCUGGCCCCGGAGGCAGGAGGCUCUGGUUCCUCACUCCUCCUGCCUCCACCCCCUACCACGGACACAUGGGUGAGGCCAGGCUCCCCGCCUCACUGCCCUUGAGACCAAAGGGGCAGCCCUGGCCCUCCCUCCCCUCUGCUGGCCAGAGGGUCUGCAUCUCAGCCCACCCCCCACCCCACCGUUUGGGGUGAGAAGCAGAAUCUGUGCUUCCCCAGUCUCCUUGCCCCAGACAACCAGCAUGUAAGACCCUUCCCGCUUCACCAUUCCCCUUCCUGUCCCCUUUGGGGUACCUGGGGGAGACUCUGGCUCCCAGGAUCUGUUCCCCAUUUCAGUGCCUUCCUAGGACACAGGGGACCCCUUGACGCUCCCCAGGCUUUCUGUGCCCAGGGCUCUGUCCCCGGUGGUGAGGUUGCAGUGAGUGAAGGAGAGGAGAUGAUCUGUUCUCCCUCACCUUCCCCUGCCCAUCUCCAGCAUCUUCUUCCCCUUCCCUGGCCCUGCAGGGCCUUCUCCAGCUCCCUUUGGUUGGUCCCUGGCCAUCCCUCCUGUCCUGGAUCCCUUCUCCCUAACUGCAAAAUGCCUGCAGCUUCCAGCUCCUUCGUCCCUGAUCCUCAAGUGGUUCCCUCCCGUCUCAGCUCAGCGGAUCCCCCAGAGUGGAGGAGGCCUCUCCAUGAGAAGGGGAGCAGCCCAAGGCACCUGGCCUCCGACCCACCGGCAGCGAGUGCGCAGGUGUGAGUGUAAGUUCAUGUAGGAGAGUGUGUGUGUGUGCGCCUGUGCCCUGCUUGCAGGCGAGCAGGGCUCCCUCAUGUAGCCCGGCCUUCCCCCUGCUGGGGGUCCACCACAUCGCUGCUCUUUCUCACAGUCUGCCUCUGAUGAGGGCGAAUUGCUAUGACAUUCCAAGCUCCAAUAAAGACUGUCCCAG